GAUGAACGCUGGCGGCGUGCUUAACACAUGCAAGUCGAACGGAAAGGCUCCUGCUUGCAGGGGUGCUCGAGUGGCGAACGGGUGAGUAACACGUGGGUGAUCUGCCCUGCACUUCGGGAUAAGCCUGGGAAACUGGGUCUAAUACCGGAUAGGACGAUGGUUUGGAUGCCAUUGUGGAAAGUUUUUCGGUGUGGGAUUAGCUCGCGGCCUAUCAGCUUGUUGGUGGGGUAAUGGCCUACCAAGGCGUCGACGGGUAGCCGGCCUGAGAGGGUGUACGGCCACAUUGGGACUGAGAUACGGCCCAGACUCCUACGGGAGGCAGCAGUGGGGAAUAUUGCACAAUGGGCGCAAGCCUGAUGCAGCGACGCCGCGUGGGGGAUGACGGCCUUCGGGUUGUAAACUACUUUCGCUAGGGACGAAGCGCAAGUGACGGUACCUGGAGAAGAAGCACCGGCUAACUACGUG
rnacentral:rRNA from 1 species